GUUAACAUACUACAUGAAGGUAGUAUAUUAGCACCCUACCCAUUUUUUAUUUUACAUAAAUGUCUCUGCCACCUCAAUAAGUGGGGGUAGUCUGUUCACCCAAAUUCUCUCAAUUCACUUAAUGCCCUAAAAAUUAUAUUUUCAAGACCCUCCCGCUAAAUCGCGCCAUUUAAUGUACAUAAUCGGCGGAAAAAAAAGGACCAAGCAACCAUUGCUCUUCUAUGAAAUUACAAGGUUAUUUCUUAAGUUUUCUCUUCUUCCAGCAUUGACUAGUGCAUAAUGGAGGUAAGCAUAUAGUAUUUUAAUACUUUUUCAUUUGUUGAUCAAAUUUUAGGGUUAAAAGCAUUUUUUUACUUUUGAAACAGAGGUGUCCAACGAUUAAAGAAUAUUUAGUUUAUAUUUGCUUUGUGCCUUUAGAUUUGCUUCUUGAUUUUUGAUUUAUAACACAAAUUUACAGUUUCAAUGAACUGAUUCUAUAGUUGGAUUACUUAGUGUUUUGACAAAAUUAUUUCUUUUGAUGGAAUUAAAAAAUAUAGGUUUUUAACAAUACCAGUGAUUUGACAAUAGGAGUUUCAAGAAAAUGUUGCCCAUGUGGUAAUAUUGGGUGCUUUAUUAAUGGAGAUACAAUUGUAGGAACUACUACAACUUCAAAUGAGGAACUUAGAAAAGAGAAUAUUAUUGAUAUUAGCGAUGGUGAUUUGCAAAUAGGAAAAGUGUUUGAUAGUUAUGAUGAAGCUUACAAUUAAUAUAUGAAUUUUGCUAAAAGUUUUGGUUUUUCAGUUAGACGUGAUCGCCAUUUAGGAAUUGUAGAACAUCCUAUGGGAAUUUAUAAAAAGGAUUAUGUUUGUCAUUGAGCUGGUAGCCCUCGUCCUUAAAAGGUAGUUGAAAAAUAACGACAAAGAAAUUGAAAAUCUUCCAGAUGUAACUGUAAAGCCAAGAUGUCCAUCGCCAAAGAUAUAUUUGAUGGCAUCACUCGUUGGACAGUGGUGUAUUUUGAUAAUGUUCACAAUCAUGAACUUUUGAGUGAUAAAGAGGUAUGAUUUUUCCCCGCUUAUCGAAAUAUUGACAUUGUUGAUCAAACACGAAUUACACUCCUUGCUAAAGUUGGUUGUUCAAUAAAUUUAAUCAGAAGAGUGAUUGAAUUAGAAAAGGGAGUAGAUCUAGGCCAAUUGCCUUUUAUAGAAAAAGAUAUAAGAAACUUUGUUCAAUCAGAAAGUUCUACUAAUAUUGAAAGUGAUGCCCUGGAGCUAUUGAAAAUAUGCUAGAGCUUAAAAGACAAAGAUGUUGAUUUCCAAUAUGAUUUCAUUGUUGAUGGAUGUCAAAGACUCGAACAUGUCAUCUGGGCAUUCAGAGACUCUAUUCGUGCUUAUGAAGUUUUUGGAGAUGUAGUCGUCUUUAACACUACUUAUCGAUUGAAUUGUUAUGAAAUGUCGUUAGGAGUUUGGAUAUCCAAUCUCUUGUUACACAAAGAUACUCAUAAUGCAUACAAACUGAAAUAAAAAAUUUACUUUGGUUGCAGGAUUCUAAAAGUAUGGACAAAGAAGCUCUAAGGUGAUCCAACUGUGAAAAAGUCAUUUUGCUUACAAGAAUCAACCAUUGCACAUCAUAGUUUGUUGAUCUCAAGUUGAAUUGAGUAGAGAUCAAAAAUUACAAGAAAUCAUUUUCUGUUUAUGAACAAGAAAUCAGAUGUUGUACUAUUUAUGAACAAGAAAUCAGCUGUUGCACGUCAUUUUUUUGAAUAGCGACAUCUUUUAUUUCAUGUAAAUUUUGUUUUAGAUGAGUACAAGAGGAGGGGCU
rnacentral:lncRNA from 1 species